rnacentral:sRNA from 1 species
AGUUGGAAUGAUGAAUAGUUUCCCAUAUUUUAUCAAGAUUGUGAAUAAUGAUGAAGAGAAAACUCACCAUCCUCCGGUCAAUCAUGCU